GCAGUAGCCACUGGAUUUGCAGCAGAAACACUCUGCUACAGAACAAGUGUCUUGGUUCACAGCAAAGAGGACAAAGAAAACAGCAAGUUUUAGGGGGUUGAAUCCUGGAUUCCCCUGGCAAACACCAUUCUACUUUCCGUCUCUAUGAAUUUGACUACUCGAAGUACCUCAUGUGAAAUGUUGGUGCCAAAUGAACUUUUCUGGUUCUUCUGAAUAGGAUGAAGAGAUCCUCCUAGCUUGGCGGAAUACUCUGCUCUGAUGGAAGUACCAUCCUGGUCCAAACAUGAAAGAAUUCCCAACAUCAAGAUUGAUUGAAACAUAUUCAAUGGAUCAUUUGCUCCAGAAGAAGCUGGUUGCCAUGUCUUGAGGACAGUAAACCCUCUGGGGAGGUUCCUGUGGUAAGGAACAAGGGCUCCUGGCAAUAGCCUCUGAGUGAGCCACCUUGAAAAUGGAUUGUCCAGCCCCAGUCAAGCUUUCAGAUGACUGUAGCUCCUGCCAAUGUCUUCACCACAACCUCAUGAGAUCCCAAGCUACAACCACUCAGAACUUCAUCUUUUGGGAAGCACCAGGGAGAGCUGCCUGUGCCUGGCAGAAGCUGCCCAUGCCCCACUGAUACCCCACAGUACUUCCUGUUCUGCUUAGUACUCCUGCUUCUUUCUACAAACAACUGUGAUUCUCUACCUGGGAGCUUCCUCUGGCCACAGGAGCCUGCUCACCUGAUUGGGACACCCUAGCAGUACUGGCUCAUAGAUGGAAGGGACUUGCCUUGUCGCUGAUGAGACUUUCGACUUGGACUUUUGAGUCAAUGCUGGAAUGAGUUAAGACUUUGGGGAACUGUUGGAAGGGUGUGAUUGUGUUUUGAAUUGUGAGGACAUGAGAUUUUGAAGAGGCUAAUGGCAGCGUCCCCACCUAAAUCUCUUCUUGAAUUGUAGUUCCCAUAAUCCCCACGUGUCGUGGGGUGGAGCCGGUGGAGAUAAUUGAAUCAUGGGAACACUUUCCCCCAUGCUGUUAUUGUGAUUGUGAAUUCUCACGAGAUCUGAUGGUUGUAUAAACGCCUUCCCUCUUCGCUGGGCACUCAUUUUUCUCCUUCCUGCCACCAUGUGAAGAAGGAUAUGCUUGCUUCUUGUGCCAUGAUUGUAAGUUUCCUGAGGCCUCCCCAGCCAUGCUGAACUGUGAGUCAAUUGAACCUCUUUCCUUUAUAAAUUACCUAGUCUUGGAUAUGUUUUUAUUAGCAGUGUGAGACAGGACUAAUACACAAAGGAUUUGAAAUCACAAAGGAGCUGUUUUCUGCUCCACCAUGGAAGUCUCACAUGCAUCACAUCUAUUCAUAUCCAUUUGCCACAACUAGACAAAAAGUCCUUUUUAAAAUCUGCCUAGAGAUCAGGAAGUAUUAUCUCUGGAUGCCUAGGCAGGAGAGGUGAAUCAGAUAUUGGUGGGCACUAGUGUGUUCUAUGAUACAUAGCUUAAUAAAAAUAAGUUUCAGAUAAAUCUAAAUAUACAUUAGAAUACUGUAACCACAGUAGAAAAAAAUAUUGGCUCCUUUUUGUGAUAAACUAAUGAUGGUAAAUGCACCCUAUUUAAGCAAGAAAAGAAACUGAUCUGCCAUAAAGAAAACAAUGACAUAUUUAACUACAAAAUAUGUUACAAAAUAUUAAUAUCCCUAAUGGACAAAUGAGUUCCAAUAAAUGGAUAACAAAAAACCAAUAAGUCUGUAGAAAAAUGGAGAAAAUAUAUUUGCAGAAUAUUUAUACAGGUGGUAAUGAAAUUGACAAUGAUGUUUAUCAUCAGCAGUAAACAGUAAAAAGUUUCACCCACCAGGACUAUAGAAAUUUUUCAAAUGGAUAAUUUUCAGAAUCAGCAAAGUUAUAGAAAAGUAGGUACCAGUUGCACAUACCAUUGGAGGAAAUGUAAAAUAUAGUUACCUUGUGGAAAGUAAUCUGAUGUAAUAUAUUAAAAUUUUAUCCAUGUAUGUCCUAUAAUUCAGCAAUUCCAUGUUGGGGAAUCCAUACAAAGAAAUACUUAUACACAUGCAGAAGGAGCUAAGUUUAAGAAAGCACACAUUUCAGCGGGUUGUGGUGUCUCACCCCUGUAAUCCCAGCACAUUGGGAGGCCGAGGUUGGUGGAUCACCUGAGGUCAGGAGUUUGAGACCAGCCUGGCCAACAUGGUGAAACCCUGUCUCUACUAAAAAUACAAAAAAUUAGCUGGUGUGGCAGUGGGUGCCUGCAGCUACUCAGGAGGCUGAGGCAGGAGAAUCGCUUGAACCUGGGAGGUGGAGGUUGCAGUGAGCUGAGAUCACACCACUGCACUCCAGCCUGGGUGACAAGAGCGAAAUUCCAUCUCAAAAAAAAAAAAAAAAAGAAAGAAAGCACAUAUUUCAAUAUCAUCUGCAAUGGUAUAAAAUCAUGCUAAUUUAAAAAUCCAUUAAUAAGGACUGGUUAAACAGUUUAUAGUUUAUUCACUAUAUGUAAUUUUAUAAGUUACCAAAAUCAUAGACUUACUGUAAAAUGAUUUUUCAAUUAGUAACUUUUCACCAUAACUUUUUUGGGGUAAUUUAUACCACUUUUUCGAUGACUCUUCUUGUUUAUGCUUUCACCUGAAAACAUACAAACUAAAUAUAAUCUAAAAAUAAUAUUUUUUAUUUUAGACAAGAACACACUCAGAAAUUUUCUCAACACAGUUUCUAUGCAGAGAAGAGAUGUGGGACAGAUUUGAACUGCUGUCAUAUUUGUAUGAACCCAAGACAUUUUCCAAGACCAAGAGGGAUAAAGACAGCAAUUUCUAUGACUGGCAUUUUACGUGCAUGCACUGUUUCCAAGUGUUCUUGUGUUCUG
ensembl:lncRNA STXBP5-AS1 STXBP5 antisense RNA 1